rnacentral:tRNA from 1 species
ACCCAGAUGGCCGAGACUCAGGCACCGAGCUUUUAACUCGACUACAGUACUAACUUCAGGGUA